UACGGGGGGGGGCAAGCGUUGUUCGGAAUUACUGGGCGUAAAGGGCUCGUAGGCGGCCAACUAAGUCGGACGUGAAAUCCCCAGGCUCAACCUGGGAACUGCGUCCGAUACUGGAUGGCUUGAAUCCGGGAGAGGGAUGCGGAAUUCCAGGUGUAGCGGUGAAAUGCGUAGAUAUCUGGAGGAACACCGGUGGCGAAGGCGGCAUCCUGGACCAACACUGACGCUGAGGAGCGAAAGCCAGGGGGAGCAAACGGG
rnacentral:rRNA from 1 species